GACGAACGCUGGCGGCGUGCCUAAUACAUGCAAGUCGAGCGAAUCAAUAGGAGCUUGCUCCUGUUGGUUAGCGGCGGACGGGUGAGUAACACGUGGGCAACCUGCCUAUAAGACUGGGAUAACUUCGGGAAACCGGAGCUAAUACCGGAUAAUUCUUUUCUACUCAUGUAGGAAAGCUGAAAGACGGUUUCGGCUGUCACUUAUAGAUGGGCCCGCGGCGCACUAGCUAGUUGGUGAGGUAACGGCUCGCCAAGGCGACGAUGCGUAGCCGACCUGAGAGGGUGAUCGGCCACACUGGGACUGAGACACGGCCCAGACUCCUACGGGAGGCAGCAGUAGGGAAUCCUCCGCAAUGGACGAAAGUCUGACGGAGCAACGCCGCGUGAGUGAUGAAGGUUUUCGGAUCGUAAAACUCUGUUGUUAGGGAAGAACAAGUACCAGAGUAACUGCUGGUACCUUGACGGUACCUAACCAGAAAGCCACGGCUAACUACGUGCCAGCCGCCGCCGUAAUAC
rnacentral:rRNA from 1 species